ensembl:lncRNA
UUUUAAUGUAAAUCCUUUUCUUGACAUGCCAGCUCUUCUACUCUUCAUUCAUGCCACAUCAGGAAUAUCAGCCCAGAGCAGGAUUCGACUCCCAUUACUACUAAAGGACAGUAUUAUGCAGCCAGAUCUUGGAGCAGACCUGUGAAGCCAUGCAGCCCUUCCUGCACGCCUCUUUCAUAUCUAUUCUCUGUUCUCAAAAGUCCUGUGAUGCCCUAGACUGGGAUCCUGAAAGCUCUUGCAUUACCUAUGUUCCUUGUAACGUCCUCCAGUUCAGUUUCCACUAAAAACACAGGCUCUACUGGUGCGCAGCAUAUCAACAGAAUGUGUUGUUGGCACACUUUGUCAACGUGGCACUUCCAAUGGAGCAGCAGACACCGCUUUCGCCACGCAUCAACCCGUGCUAUGCUGACGUCCUCAGCAGUCACUUCCACCACAACCAAACACCUGUGGAUUGAGCCAACCAGCAGAACACACCUGGAGUUAAACAGGAAAAAAAGCCCAGCCCACAAAAUUCUGCAACCCUGCAAGGUGUUCACGUACAAGCUGGGCAAUGGUAGCAUGCCAAGAUGACUACUACAAAGGAGCUGCCAGGAAUUGACCGUGGUUGGAAUGCACACCACAGCCAUCUGCUUCAGCCAACACGGUGCUCACAGUGAGCAGCUAUGGGGCCAGAGCCCCCAGAAGGCACAGCCCAAAUUUCGGAAGAAUUAGGGAUUCCGUGACCAGCUCAACAUAUAAAAUCCCACGCAUUUUUUCCUAUCUAGUUCACAAAAUACAAAUAGGUUGUUAGGAACCUACUUCUGCCACACGGUACUAAUAAGCUAACAGAUUUCAGCUCAUUUUUCCUGUCUGCUUUAGAGAGACUUACUUAGUUCCUAUAGAGUACAUGCGUUAUUUGCAUUUACCAAAAAAUGGUGCGAGCCAUCGCAGCAGCUCGCUGCUUACAUUGCCAUUGCAACAAGCGAUUGCUAAGAGUUAGGAGAACUUCUUGUUCUGCAGAAGACAGC